CCAACACUACAUUUCAUGCCAUGAAAUACUCUUAUUGCUAUUCCUCAGCUGCUGGGGAGUAUCUUUCCUCCAAGCCCCUCCUGGGCUCAGUGCUAUGAAUACCACCUCCAGCACAGCAAGCUGAGGCAGGCAGCAGCCACAGAUGGCAUUUGUCUUGGAAAAUGUUUAGUUAUGUGAACAUCAGCUUUCGCAAUCUGAUUCACAGCCUGAAUAAAAGUUUUCAGGCUGGUAUGCACCACAUUGAACUUAAAAUUGUAGCCUUUUAUUUAAUCUGAAGAGAGUCAAGUUACAAGGAACAUAACAAAUCUUUAGAAUACUGCAUACACUUGAAUUUCCCCCCCUUUCUCCCCAUUCCAUGUUCCUUUCCAGCAGAUAUGAGAUAGAGAGGUAAUGAAGGAAAGCAAAUAUUUAUGUAUUGGUUGUUCCUCCAGGGCCACAUGAAAUUGAUUGCUCCAAUCAGCAGAAGAAGGAAAACACUCUCUGCUAUCAAUGGCUGAGUUAAUCAGGAGUCUCAAAGGAAAAGUUUAUUAUAGAAGAGCAAAAACAUUCAACUCCCAUCCCUUCCUCCAAGGAAGCUUCAGCAAUGAACCAAAGUUCUCCAGCUUUGCUUGUGCUUGUGUCUGUGACAUCCAAGACCCUCCAUGGCCUCACAAGGAAAUUAACAUAUCUAGAGAACAGUUUUUGUGGUCUCACAGCACCUCACUUAACUCAGUUGAUACCCUAAAAUUAAGAAGAAUUAGUUGAGACCACAGUUUAUUGUGCCUAAGGCUUGGGUGAAGAACCAAGGAGGGAUUGAAUGGCUGGAGAUGCUCACCUACAGCAAUCCCUCCAGCACUGGUGCUGCAGAGACAAUCCAGGAAGGUCAGGACGAGGCAAGAAGCACUUUUUACCCCACUGUACCACAGCUGAAACAUCUUGCAGAGCUUCAGUGACCACCAGCACCCUGUGGCAGCCUCUGAGAGCAAGUUUCUCACUUGGGCUUCUGCUGCUGCUAAAAACGUAAGUUAUUUAUGAGGAGAAGGUAAUGUACCCACAUUUCAAACUGUAACGCAAGCCAGAAAACUCUCACAGUCUCAUGUAACUGUGCCAGAAGCUAAAGAAGGCUCAUACAUAGGAGAAAUCACACUUCUUUGUGCCUGAGAAGGACCAGAAGUAGUUGGUGGCUGUAUCUGAAAAUAUUUGCAUUUACUGUCUUUAAGAUAAAACACUAAAUAUCUUAUCAUUUGGUGUUGGGGGUUUUUUUGUUUUGUUUUGUUUUGUUCUGUUUUGUUUUGGGUUUUUUUUGGUGGUUUUUGUUGGUUUUUUUUGUGGGGUUUUUUGGGUUUUUAGUUGUUGUUUUUGUUGGUUGAUCAGAGAUUUGUUUUGUUUUGCUUUGGUUUUUUUCCCCGAGGAUUUUUUUACAGCCCUAGCAGACUGGAGACAUGAGAAAGACAAAACCUGUAGAAAAUUGUGCUGUAUUAUGAGAUGAAAAAUGAUGUCUGUUAAGUCCUGAAAUCAGUCAACACCACUCUGCAGCCAUCACAGUAGGUGUCCCUUGCUAACAGCUCUAAGUAGGAGACAGAGAGUUCACUGGUCCUGUGUAAAUGUACUGUGCUUCACCCAGGCAUCAAGUGGAGAAUAGUGCCAGCAGGACAGAACUAACCAAGCUGCAUUCAACAAGGUGAGCACAUCCUCACUAAGGUGACGUCUUACUGGAGCAACAACGUAAAGAACAAGAUGUGUUCCUGAGGAUGCAUAUUUGUGCUUGCUGCCAUCAGAGAUGGUUUUCCAGCCUCUGGAACUGAGAGAGCAGCCAGAAUGAGGGACAAGACUGACAGCCAACUUUUUCUUUUUCUGUUGGGACAACAGAAGCAGAACCUUCUGCCACAAGGCAUUUCCCGUCUGAUUUGAAGGUGAAAGAUUUGCCUAGGACUCAGGUCAUGAUGAUUGCAUUUCUCAGUCACUAUGAAGAUGGAAAUGUCUGUCUGCAGACUUCAGCAAUGACCACCGCAGCUGGAAGUUUAGGGUUCAAACUCCCAGCUGCAGUCUGAAGGAGACACACGAUGUCGUUCCCGGGCAAUGCAAUUCUCGAAGGCAGUCCCUAGAUGUCACUGAACACCACGGCUGGUUUAAAUAUAAACCAAGACAUGUUACAGCAGGCAAGUCCUCAUGCUAAAAACAUGGUGUAUUUCUGCUAGCUAGAAAAUUAUGACUUUCAAAAAUAUCUUUAUAUAUUCAGUCCUUCAAUUUCAGUGGUGAAAUUAUUCCAUAGUCAAAAUUAGGAAACUCGGAGAAUAAUGAGCUGCUCAGGCACCAGUGCUAGGUUUGCUCCUGAGCUCCAUCAGACCUGCCAGGUGGUUGGUGUCCCCUUUGGAGGUGACUUAGGGCCCAUACAGCAGCUUCUCCACUAACAGGGAAAACUCCUGUUUCUUUAGUCCUUCUGAAAAUUCCUCUUUUUCUCUUUCCUGUACGAAAUUACUUUUCCAUGGAAACUUGCCUACCUCACGCCCUUCUUUACUUUCUCAAAGGCACUCAGUCCUGUAAGAGUCCAUAGGGCUGGGCACAAGGUGCAGCAGCAGCCAGGACCACAAGCCCAGCAGCUGUGCUCAGUUUUAAAUCCUGUCUGAGUUUUGUCUAAGUUUCUUGGGGUGAUGACUGUGGGAGCUGGUCUGUUCUUACCUUCUGAAACCAGUCCAGGUGAGAUCAACACAACCUCUCCAGUGCCAUGGCUGCCUGAUGAUAUCCCCACUAUAAUAGAGCAUUCCCUGUGAAGGCUGGCUGGGAGAGCUGGGGUUGUUUGCCUGGAGAAGGGGAGGCUCCAGGGAGAUCUUCGAGCACCUACCAGUACCUAAAGAGGGCCUACAAGAAAGCAGAGCACUGCUCCUCACAGCAAGAUCUUCAGCUAAGAAACUGCCUUUGCCAAACAGAAGGCCUGUGGGGAAGAUUUUCAAAGGUAGAUGUGACAGGUCAUAUUUUUGAUCAUCUGCCUUUAUAGGGCAAUACCAUAAACUGUGCUAUAUAAAAACUGGUAUCAUCUACACACUGGUGUCUAGUAUUUCCUUGGACUCCCUAAACAGCCCUAAAAGGAGUGAUCUGUUAUUGGCAUGGACUGUGUUAGUCAACUUGCUUUUUUUUUUAUAAAAAUGAAAAAUACUUGCAAACUUUGAAACCCUCCCAAAUGGAAAAAAGGUUCAUUAUAAAAACAAAAGUGAGAACAAACUACGUUUAAAGUAAGAAAGAAAAGCAACAACAACAAAAAGAUCUCAUAGGGUUUUUACAGAAGGGAGGCUGUAAAGCAGAAACAUGCUCCACCAGUAAAUCCAGGUAGGUGUUGCUGUUGUUGCUACACCAGCACUGCCUUCUCUGCCAGAAAAACACCUGUGUCUCAAGAUUUAUUUUCAAGGUUAGGAAAUCUGGGAACUUUCUGCAGAAUACAUUAAAUCAUACCUGAACUGUUACUGUCUUGACUACUUCAGUGAUCUCUUCAGUCUACUGGAAUGGCACAAGUUUGGCUCCCUUUUACCUUGUCUUCCUUAUCCCUCACUGAUAAUUCAGCUAUUGCUUAUUUAUUUAUUUACUAUUGCUUGUGCUUAUUUAGCACUCCUGGAGCAAAAUGCUUAGUUCUUCUCUGGCAAGUUUGAGUCUAGGUAGACAAAAUUACAGCAAUUUAAUAUAGUUCUUGAAUUAUUUGUGUAUCAAAUAAAACAACAUAGUAGAUGUCUGGGAAGAAGCAGGCAUGAGGUGACCCAUAGGAAAUCAAAGCUACUCACUUCCAUACAUGUGGAUUUACUGUAAACAUCAACAGUGCAAGAGUAUACACAAAGCAAGACUCUGGUCUGCAGCUCUUGUGCCAUCAUUACCUUUGGACGUUGUAAUUAAUAAUAGUAAUGAUUUUUUAUGCUGUAAUAGAACUAAGAACUCAACCACAAAAGUGGACCCAGCUGCUCUAUAAACAGAGGACAAAAUGCCAGUUUCACCCACUAACCUUUGAAGCUUUCAAGGUGUCAGCCCCACAGCUGCAUGUUCUGCUGCUGCUAACACUGGCAGGUCACCCACUUGUCGCUGGGGCAACACUCAGGAGGUGUCUAAUGAGCAACAGUGAAAGUUUGAGGGUCUUUCUAGAGAAUCCUGGUAAGGUGGGCUCUGCUGGCAUUACAGGAGAAAGAAAGUGUUUAAAAUACAAAGAGCAGAUAAUUAAGAAUAGUUGAGUGAGGAAGGCUCUGGAAACAUGUCACUAAUGCAUUAGAGAUGACAACGUUGCAGUUACUGAGAGAUAGUGGGAACCUGAAUGAAAAACUUGUCUGUCUGGAUGGACAGAAAAGAUCUACCUAAACAGAUGCAAACAGACUCACAAGAAUUUAGGGACAAGCUCAGUAGGAAUAUAUGGAUCCCAAGUAGUCAAAGAAAACCGAUGUUAUGGGCCUGAGGGAUAGGGGAAGCUGAGUUCCCAAUCACUAAGGGAGAAGAUGGUGGAAUGCACAUGCAGGGGAGUGUGUGGGUUGGGCUGUACUGAUUUCAACAUCUAUAUAUUCCCAGGAGACAUGAAAAGACCUGAGUUCUGAGUUUGGGCAGGCAUGAAAGGCUCCGGAGCAGAGAAGUGAAAUUCUCAAGUCUUAAACACACUUACAUGCAUCCAACAAAAAACACACACAUUUAUGUAAUGAGGGAGAUUACUGGAAAUUGUUUGCAUGUACACAGUUUAAAAAUGGGAUUAUGUGAGAAGCCUGAGAUGCACUCGCCAACUGGUGAUUGUUGCCAGCUCCUGGAGAGUGGUUUGAGAAGAUCACCAGGUAUUUGCAGUUGUCACUCUGGCAACAGGUAGUCACAGACACCUGAACAGAGCUGGAGGGUUUCUUCUCCUCCCCAGAACUCCUCAGUCUUCUACUUACUAAAAAACCCUGUGUUUAUUUUGAAGCACUGAACAAGUUCACACCUUGGUCUUUCAUUCUGUCUUAUAUUGUUAUCUCCUGCAUAUAAUUCUGGACUAAAUGAUUCAAGUAUUUUGUCCCAAAAGUUUUCCUGGUCGUACAUUAAAAAAAUUGUAUUUCAUAUUUUAAAUAAGCAGUACAAUGAAAAAAUAGAGACCCAUGCAGCAGAGCUGUCACAUUAAAAAACAUACAUAAUAUACUGAUUAAAAAUGUAUGCAGUCAGUUAUUGUAUAGUUAUUUAAUGAAAGGAAAAAAAAUAAAUCUACAAAAUCAAGGGCUAUUUUAAUAGGGUGUUUUUAGAACAGAAAACCUUGUCUCACUUAGGCAACUUUAUAAGAAUAAUCACAUGAGCACAGCUAUGAAGUCAGCUACUUUUCAUUAACUUGAACACCAAUAUAAAAUUAUUAUAGUCUAUGCAAUGUAAGUGGAAAUGAUAAGGUAAAUGAGCACAAAAUGGGGGAAAUUAUAGCUCUUACCUAUACAGCAAACAGACUGGUUUUCUGGCUGUUUGCUUACAGAAAGCCCCGUGUCAUUUCUGCCUCUGACUUUCAGAGUUCCUGUGGCAUUCAUUUCCCAUCAUGCUAACAAAAGCUGCAAUGGCAGAGGGUGCUUGCAGUGGUUGCCCAUACAAGCCACCGUACUGCUCAUGUUGCCUUAUUUUAGCACAAACAUUGUUUCCUACCUUACCUCAAAGUAACCACUUCACUUAAGCAUGCUCAGAGUGAGGUGAAAUACCACAUACCCUGUGCUGUGGUGUGUGUGAAAACUCACCAAGGAUGAGGAGGUACUGCUGGACAGGAGUAGUAUUUCAGGGAGGAAUUCUGACAUUUCAGCUGAAUAAAGAAAGAAGCACAACUCUGUGUUGUUACACUUUAUGCCUCUCUUCUACCCUGUGUUAACAGAUUCAAUGAGCAUUUUUCAAAAAGUAAUUUCCAAAUUUCUGUGGCUUUGGGAAUAAUGCUACCUGUGAACUAAGCAUCUAACCCUGGGGACCUGUACCAUCUGAAAAGUGUUUGUGUAAAUCAUGAAGACUAAUUUCAGGUCCUCAACUGAAGCAGAAAAAAAACAGCUCUACAAAUGGGGCAAUGUGCAGCAGUCGAGAAAAAGCAGAACAGGGUCUUCAGCAGGUGACAGGAUGAAACGCUGGUGUCUUGCUACUGCAGGAGAAGCAAACUCCUGUUUGAACAAAAGAUUCACCUCCAAAGAAUCCAUUGUACAUUAAGGCCCCAUGUAGAAUUUUGACUGUUGCACUUGGAGAUAUGCCUUCCACAGAGACGGUUGAGAGAAAAGCAAUGAGAAUGAUGAAAAUUAAGGAAACUUCUGCCCUGUGAAAAGAAAAAUAGACUACUUGAGAUAAGACAAUGCAAAAAAUUAUUGUAAAGAAGUGUCAUCAUUAGGUCAAAGGAGGUGAUUCUUUCCCUCUACUCCGCUCUUGUGAGACCCCACCUGGAGCACUGCAUCCAGCUCUGGGGUCCCCAACACAGAAGAUGAUAGAAUAAUGUGGACCUGUUAGAAAAGGACCGGAGGAGAUUCUCAAGGUCGAUCACAGGGCUGGGGCACCUCUCCUGUACAGACAGGCUGAGACACUUGGGGUUGUUCAGCAUGGAAAGGAGAAGACUCUGGGAAGACCUUAGAGCACCCUCCAGCAUCAAAGGGUACUGGAGAGAGGGCACGAGAGAGCUGGAGAGGGACUUUUCACAAGGGCAUGUAAUGAAUGGCUUCAAAGUGAAUGAAGGCAGGUUUAGACUAGAUAUGGGAGAGAAUUUUUUUCUGUGAGGGUGGUGAGGCACUUGAAUAAGUUGCCCAGAGUAAUUAUGGAUGCCCCAUCCCUAGAUGUGCACCAGGCCAGGCUGGAUGGAGCUUUGAGCAAGCUGGUCUGCUGGAAGGUGUCCCUGACCAUGGCAGAGGGGUUAGAGCUGGAUGGACUUUAGGGCCUUCCAACACAAACCGUUAUAUGAGUUUACGACUCUUUAAUGUGCUGAAGAGGUAGCAAGAAAAAAAAUACAUUUACCAUUAGGAAUUUCUUUUCUUAAUCAUCACAGUAGUGAAGGACUGAUUGUGUGGGGGUUUGUGAAGCCUGCAUGAUUAGAAGUGGCUUGACAGAAAUAUCCAUGGGGAGAGGUGGAUAGACUGGACGACCUCCUCCAGUCCCUUGCAAGUCUAGUAAUUAUGAUUCUGCAAUUUAAUGAUGUCAAAUAAAUUUAAAUUUAAAAUGUUUUCACAUUUCAUUACAAAUCUCCUAAUAACUUGACACCACCUCUAUAAAAAGAGAAAAAUAUUUUAGUCCAAAGGAAAUUGAUCUUACCUACAGUUUGCUUCUAUCUAUAGAUAGAAGCUGCUAUUCUUUUUAAUUUGACAUCCAUAUUAAUAAGGCCUUACUAAAUCCUCACUUUAAAACACUGUGCAAAAACUAGAGUGCCAUAUAUAGUCCAUAACUUUAAAAAAAUUAUCAAAACCCAACCAAGCCUCCACACCUUAUCCUUUACAACUGUUACCUUUCCUCUUUUUUACCACCUGGGCCUAGCAGUGCUGCAGCUUCACAGCACAUGAGACCCUGCAUCUAAGGCUGGACUGCAAAUCCUCAAACCUAAAGUGCCUUUUUAUAGGCAAAGUCAGCCAUGUCACUGUGAGACUGCAGAUGAUCUGGGAUCAAAGACAGAGCAAUGUAGUGCCUUUACACCUGAUUGCUACACUGACAGAUCAGAUUUGUCUUUCAGUCCCAAAUUCAUCAUGCAAAGGGCAACAUCAUAAUAAAAUUUUCAUUAAGCAGCUUUAUUUUUCCCAUGUAACAAACUUCAAAGAAAAAGAGAAUUUGGGGGGAAAAUGUAUGCUAUAAGAAAAGAAAUACAGGUCCAAAUGAAAGGAUACUAUGGAGAACUGGGGCAUUCCUUUGCAGAAGUAUUAAAUGCCUGCAGCUGAAAACCAUUGCACAGCCUUCAAAAUCAGGCCACUGUUAUUUAAGCAAGAAUGAGCCAUUUUCCACAUAUCAUUCAUCAGCAUGAAUCUGUUAGAAACUUACCAAAGAGUAACUAGGUGCAGAGUUUGGCCUCAAAUAUUUCUUUUGCAGUAUUUUUUCCUGCGUUUUGUUGAGAGGCUACUUCUCCCUUUGUGAUAUUAAUGUUGACAAGAAUCUGUGAGUCCCUAAUUCCUAAUGAGAUUGAAGAUGGCACAGAUUAAUUCGAAAGGAAUUGCCUUGGGGCAUUGCCAAGAAUGAUUGAAUUUUUCUUUUUGGCUUUGGGGAGAUGCUAACACCUUUUAGUUUCCCAUUAGUGCAUUUCAUGGGGUGAGGCAUCCUAAGAAUUGCUCAGUUCCCAUCAAGAUCUCCAGAGGAAAACAGCUCAAGUCUUUAUGACCUUUUGGGUAGAACAUUCACACCAAUCCCCUGAAUUCAUGUGAUGGAAGACUGAUUGCAGCAAAUAAUUAGAUGACAAAGAAUUUACAACUUGCUCAGAACCUGCAACCCUUUUUAUUCCACACUAUGCUUCAGCUAGAAUGGAUAUAUGACAUAUAUUGUGCCCUGCAGAUUUUAUUUUUUUACUUUUUCUUUUUAACUUGUGCCAGGCAGACAAUUCCCACUGACUUACCCCUGAUCAGUUACAUGUAAAAUAAAUGCCAGCUUAAAAACUUGCCUUUUUUUUUUUUAAGGGGUGUACUUUUUCGCUUUGCAAGCAAAUGGAAUGGUUCUUUCUUCCCCAUAAUUACAAAUAUCUUUGUUCCAUACCAUUUCAUGCCUGUCAAACAGCAGGGAGUCUGCCUUGCAAACAAUAAAAGGCAAGAAGAAAACCAAACUAAGACAAAAAACAAGGUUAGAAGAAAAUAAAAUAUAGGCAAUGUUUUUCCAGAGCAUCCUCAAAACAUGAGAAUUAGCUAAUGAAUAUAGGGCCAUACAAUAACCUAAAUCCUGUCUUUCUCAUCAGAAUUGGCUUCAAGGAACAAAUGAUCUUCCAUUCAGCUGUUUCAUAUUUCUACAGUUUCAAAUAAGACAGAUAUUUAAAUAUGGAAAUAAAGGGUUUUAUACAUUUACACACUAGAAUUUUAUUGCCUGCAUGUAUAGGAAAUUCAGAGAGUACACAUUUAAGGUUUAUAACUAUUGAAAUGACACCAAAAGUGGCAUUUAGACUUCUAAUCUCCCUCUGCUAAAAAUAUAUGUGUGAUACAAAAUCACAACUAAAUUUCAAGUGUAACAAAGGUGGAAAACCCUGUGGCUUUGCAGCCUGAUUUCAAUCCAUGAUUUCAUCUUGCAAGGCAUGUGAGUACAUGAUUUUUUUUUCAUGUUAUUAUUGGAAAAACACUUGUGGUUACUGCUUGUUUUAAAAAUGUUUUUGGUAAGCCUAGUUAGCAAGAACUAGUUUCCCCGCCCUGAAUAUAUACUAUUCAAGACAUGUCUGGUUUUUGUAUUCAGUAGUCCCAACACCAAAAAUCUAACAGGGAGCUUUCCUGUCACCCAAAAAGUAUCUGUAAAAUAUCUGGUCAGUAGAUACAAGAGAAGAGUUAGAAACCUAGACCCAAGAGAGGAGUUAGAGACACAUCCUGUUGCAGAACUUCUUGAGAUAUUUUUCAUCCUGCACCAGACACUGCAAAAGCUUUUCACAGUGAAUUCAUCAUGUCUUGUUUACAUUUAAAGCUGGUACUUUGGAGGCAAAUUUUCUUUAACACAUAUCAAAUAAGAAACAUAUGCUGCAUACUGUAUACCCUGAGCACAGUAAUUACAUUUUAUGUCAUUUAAUGUUCCUGCUGAGCUCUACUCCUCUACUGUAAUAAUGCAGUACUCCAAGAAUUUUGACCAAGGAUGAACUGUGCUCAUUCACCUGAUUUUAUAUAUUGCAGGCAGUAGGUUAUGUACUAGUAGGUUAUGUACAGUUCUAGUACUGUGGAGGGAUCUCUGAUAAUCCAGACAAGAUCUAGUGGUAGUGGAUUACUUUUGGCCUAACUGUACUUAGAAAAUCUGAUGUUCAGUCAGUAGCUUUUUCC